GAUGAACGCUGGCGGCGUGCCUAAUACAUGCAAGUCGAGCGAACAGACGAGGAGCUUGCUCCUCUGACGCUAGCGGCGGACGGGUGAGUAACACGUGGAUAACCUACCUAUAAGACUGGGAUAACUUCGGGAAACCGGAGCUAAUACCGGAUAAUAUAUUGAACCGCAUGGUUCAAUAGUGAAAGACGGUUUUGCUGUCACUUAUAGAUGGAUCCGCGCCGCAUUAGCUAGUUGGUAAGGUAACGGCUUACCAAGGCAACGAUGCGUAGCCGACCUGAGAGGGUGAUCGGCCACACUGGAACUGAGACACGGUCCAGACUCCUACGGGAGGCAGCAGUAGGGAAUCUUCCGCAAUGGGCGAAAGCCUGACGGAGCAACGCCGCGUGAGUGAUGAAGGUCUUCGGAUCGUAAAACUCUGUUAUUAGGGAAGAACAAAUGUGUAAGUAACUAUGCACGUCUUGACGGUACCUAAUCAGAAAGCCAACGGCUAACUACGUG
rnacentral:rRNA from 1 species